AGUGAGAAAAUGCUCAAAGACCCAUUUACAUAGGCCCAAUACAAACUAUCCCAGAACCUGCAUUUGAUAAAUUACUCGCAACACACCUCCUCCGGGGGGUGGGGGCUCGAAGCAAACAGUGACUCUUUCAAACGUUCAGUAACAUCUCUCAUCAUGGCUCCCGUAAAACUCGCUCGGCGGUUACGAUUCUCUCAAAUCUGUAAUCUUUAAGCCACAUGUGUGCCAGACAACGACACUGCAACACCCACUCUCUAUAUAAAGGGGACUCUUAGCAGUCCCCAAGGUUAGAAUCUGCUUACUCUAUAAAUCCCCAUUCUGACUCAAAUCCUGACUUGAGCGUGUAUGCAUGUACACCUCCUGCCAUUCCAAUCAACAACUGAGACUUCAACCACCGUAUCAAAUUGCAUCGGUAGUCAUCUUUUGAUCGGGUACGAUUAGAAUGCAAUUCGCCCCUUAUUGUGUUUAUUUCUCUCGCAUUCAAAUGCUCCAUUAUUUUAUGAUAUUUUCUUCUGUUUUCAUAUCCUUCAAAUAUUUUGCAUCACCUGAAAUUAAAUAUUUUAUCCGACUAUAUAUAACAAUAAAAUGUUUAUUUUCUAAUGUUGGAAAAUUACCUAAUGGAUUAACUAGUGGAAUAACUUCUCUAAUAAGGUUUAGAAAUUUGGUUGUUACUACAUGCCUUUUCAUCAAUCUAAACAUGCAUCAUUACCAAUCAUGACUCUUCAUGGUCUUUUUGAGAUUUAUUGAUGAACUUGAAAUCCAAUAUAUAUUGUAGAUAUAACCAUGUUAUCAUGAAAUGUUAUGAAAUAAUGAAAAAUUUGGUAUAAAAAAAUAUGUAUUUUUUAUGAUUGAUAAGUUUUCAUGUAUUUUUUAUGAUUGAUAAGUUUUCUGGAGUGAGAAAAUGCUCAAAGACCCAUUUACAUAGGCCCAAUACAAACUAUCCCAGAACCUGCAUUUGAUAAAUUACUCGCAACACACCUCCUCCGGGGGGUGGGGGCUCGAAGCAAACAGUGACUCUUUCAAACGUUCAGUAACAUCUCUCAUCAUGGCUCCCGUAAAACUCGCUCGGCGGUUACGAUUCUCUCAAAUCUGUAAUCUUUAAGCCACAUGUGUGCCAGACAACGACACUGCAACACCCACUCUCUAUAUAAAGGGGACUCUUAGCAGUCCCCAAGGUUAGAAUCUGCUUACUCUAUAAAUCCCCAUUCUGACUCAAAUCCUGACUUGAGCGUGUAUGCAUGUACACCUCCUGCCAUUCCAAUCAACAACUGAGACUUCAACCACCGUAUCAAAUUGCAUCGGUAGUCAUCUUUUGAUCGGGUACGAUUAGAAUGCAAUUCGCCCCUUAUUGUGUUUAUUUCUCUCGCAUUCAAAUGCUCCAUUAUUUUAUGAUAUUUUCUUCUGUUUUCAUAUCCUUCAAAUAUUUUGCAUCACCUGAAAUUAAAUAUUUUAUCCGACUAUAUAUAACAAUAAAAUGUUUAUUUUCUAAUGUUGGAAAAUUACCUAAUGGAUUAACUAGUGGAAUAACUUCUCUAAUAAGGUUUAGAAAUUUGGUUGUUACUACAUGCCUUUUCAUCAAUCUAAACAUGCAUCAUUACCAAUCAUGACUCUUCAUGGUCUUUUUGAGAUUUAUUGAUGAACUUGAAAUCCAAUAUAUAUUGUAGAUAUAACCAUGUUAUCAUGAAAUGUUAUGAAAUAAUGAAAAAUUUGGUAUAAAAAAAUAUGUAUUUUUUAUGAUUGAUAAGUUUUCAUGUAUUUUUUAUGAUUGAUAAGUUUUCUGGAGUGAGAAAAUGCUCAAAGACCCAUUUACAUAGGCCCAAUACAAACUAUCCCAGAACCUGCAUUUGAUAAAUUACUCGCAACACACCUCCUCCGGGGGGUGGGGGCUCGAAGCAAACAGUGACUCUUUCAAACGUUCAGUAACAUCUCUCAUCAUGGCUCCCGUAAAACUCGCUCGGCGGUUACGAUUCCCUCAAAUCUGUAAUCUUUAAGCCACAUGUGUGCCAGACAACGACACUGCAACACCCACUCUCUAUAUAAAGGGGACUCUUAGCAGUCCCCAAGGUUAGAAUCUGCUUACUCUAUAAAUCCCCAUUCUGACUCAAAUCCUGACUUGAGCGUGUAUGCAUGUACACCUCCUGCCAUUCCAAUCAACAACUGAGACUUCAACCACCGUAUCAAAUUGCAUCGGUAGUCAUCUUUUGAUCGGGUACGAUUAGAAUGCAAUUCGCCCCUUAUUGUGUUUAUUUCUCUCGCAUUCAAAUGCUCCAUUAUUUUAUGAUAUUUUCUUCUGUUUUCAUAUCCUUCAAAUAUUUUGCAUCACCUGAAAUUAAAUAUUUUAUCCGACUAUAUAUAACAAUAAAAUGUUUAUUUUCUAAUGUUGGAAAAUUACCUAAUGGAUUAACUAGUGGAAUAACUUCUCUAAUAAGGUUUAGAAAUUUGGUUGUUACUACAUGCCUUUUCAUCAAUCUAAACAUGCAUCAUUACCAAUCAUGACUCUUCAUGGUCUUUUUGAGAUUUAUUGAUGAACUUGAAAUCCAAUAUAUAUUGUAGAUAUAACCAUGUUAUCAUGAAAUGUUAUGAAAUAAUGAAAAAUUUGGUAUAAAAAAAUAUGUAUUUUUUAUGAUUGAUAAGUUUUCAUGUAUUUUUUAUGAUUGAUAAGUUUUCUGGAGUGAGAAAAUGCUCAAAGACCCAUUUACAUAGGCCCAAUACAAACUAUCCCAGAACCUGCAUUUGAUAAAUUACUCGCAACACACCUCCUCCGGGGGGUGGGGGCUCGAAGCAAACAGUGACUCUUUCAAACGUUCAGUAACAUCUCUCAUCAUGGCUCCCGUAAAACUCGCUCGGCGGUUACGAUUCCCUCAAAUCUGUAAUCUUUAAGCCACAUGUGUGCCAGACAACGACACUGCAACACCCACUCUCUAUAUAAAGGGGACUCUUAGCAGUCCCCAAGGUUAGAAUCUGCUUACUCUAUAAAUCCCCAUUCUGACUCAAAUCCUGACUUGAGCGUGUAUGCAUGUACACCUCCUGCCAUUCCAAUCAACAACUGAGACUUCAACCACCGUAUCAAAUUGCAUCGGUAGUCAUCUUUUGAUCGGUUUUCUGGAGUGAGAAAAUGCUCAAAGACCCAUUUACAUAGGCUCAAUACAAACUAUCCCAGAACCUGCAUUUGAUAAAUUACUCGCAACACACCUCCUCCGGGGGUGGGGGCUCGAAGCAAACAGUGACUCUUUCAAACGUUCAGUAACAUCUCUCAUCAUGGCUCCCGUAAAACUCGCUCGGCGGUUACGAUUCCCUCAAAUCUGUAAUCUUUAAGCCACAUGUGUGCCAGACAACGACACUGCAACACCCACUCUCUAUAUAAAGGGGACUCUUAGCAGUCCCCAAGGUUAGAAUCUGCUUACUCUAUAAAUCCCCAUUCUGACUCAAAUCCUGACUUGAGCGUGUAUGCAUGUACACCUCCUGCCAUUCCAAUCAACAACUGAGACUUCAACCACCGUAUCAAAUUGCAUCGGUAGUCAUCUUUUGAUCGGGUACGAUUAGAAUGCAAUUCGCCCCUUAUUGUGUUUAUUUCUCUCGCAUUCAAAUGCUCCAUUAUUUUAUGAUAUUUUCUUCUGUUUUCAUAUCCUUCAAAUAUUUUGCAUCACCUGAAAUUAAAUAUUUUAUCCGACUAUAUAUAACAAUAAAAUGUUUAUUUUCUAAUGUUGGAAAAUUACCUAAUGGAUUAACUAGUGGAAUAACUUCUCUAAUAAGGUUUAGAAAUUUGGUUGUUACUACAUGCCUUUUCAUCAAUCUAAACAUGCAUCAUUACCAAUCAUGACUCUUCAUGGUCUUUUUGAGAUUUAUUGAUGAACUUGAAAUCCAAUAUAUAUUGUAGAUAUAACCAUGUUAUCAUGAAAUGUUAUGAAAUAAUGAAAAAUUUGGUAUAAAAAAAUAUGUAUUUUUUAUGAUUGAUAAGUUUUCAUGUAUUUUUUAUGAUUGAUAAGUUUUCUGGAGUGAGAAAAUGCUCAAAGACCCAUUUACAUAGGCUCAAUACAAACUAUCCCAGAACCUGCAUUUGAUAAAUUACUCGCAACACACCUCCUCCGGGGGGUGGGGGCUCGAAGCAAACAGUGACUCUUUUAAACGUUCAGUAACAUCUCUCAUUAUGGCUCCCGUAAAACUCGCUCGGCGGUUACGAUUCCCUCAAAUCUGUAAUCUUUAAGCCACAUGUGUGCCAGACAACGACACUGCAACACCCACUCUCUAUAUAAAGGGGACUCUUAGCAGUCCCCAAGGUUAGAAUCUGCUUACUCUAUAAAUCCCCAUUCUGACUCAAAUCCUGACUUGAGCGUGUAUGCAUGUACACCUCCUGCCAUUCCAAUCAACAAUUGAGACUUCAACCACCGUAUCAAAUUGCAUCGGUAGUCAUCUUUUGAUCGGCGGUUUAUUGGUGUUUUGAUAAUUCUGAUUGUCCACAACAUUUGUGCCAUGAACUUAUUAUACCAAGGUGUAAAAUCGGUGUUUGUGUAUGUCUUCCUUAACUCAAGAAUACACAAAUGCCUUGCUAUCUCAUGUGCUAUAAUUUAGUUUUAUUUUUGACACCGUUUGUUUUUCCUUUCUAAAGUUUAUGAAACUCUUAGUUAUGGCUUUGUACUAUAAUAUGAUGGUAAUUGAUUGAAAUAAGACUGCAAGUAAUAUUAUCUAGAUUAUAUUCUUCUCUCUUAAUUACCGUCUGUCAAAAUAUCUUUAAUGAUUAAGUUGAAAUAUUGUUUUUAUGUUA